GAUGAACGCUGGCGGCGUGCUUAACACAUGCGAGUCGAACGGAAAGGCUCCUGCUUGCCGGGGUACUCGAGUGGCGAACGGGUGAGUAACACGUGGGUGAUCUGCCCUGCACUUCGGGAUAAGCCUGGGAAACUGGGUCUAAUACCGGAUAGGACCACAUUUUGGAUGGUGUGGUGGAAAGUUUUUCGGUGUGGGAUGAGCUCGCGGCCUAUCAGCUUGUUGGUGGGGUAAUGGCCUACCAAGGCGUCGACGGGUAGCCGGCCGUCGAGGGGGUACGGCCACAUGGGGACUGAGAGACGGCCCAGACCCCGACGGGAGGCGGCAGUCGGGGAGGUUGCACAAGGGCGGCAAGUCUGAUGCAGCCACGCCGCGUGGGGGAUGACGGCCUUCGGGUUGUAAACACCUAUCGCUGGGGACCAAGCGCAAGUGACGGUACCUGGAGAAGAAGCACCGGCUAACUACGUG
rnacentral:rRNA from 1 species